rnacentral:misc_RNA from 1 species
UGGCUCUCGCAUCGAUGAAGAACGCAGCGAAUUGCGAUACGUAAUGUGAAUUGCAGAAUUCAGUGAAUCAUCGAAUCUUUGAACGCACCUUGCGCCACGUGGUAUUCCACGAGGCACACCUGUUUGAGCGUCACGUUAACCAUCGCGUCGUGGAUGUAACAGUCUGCGGGGCGGAUUUGGGUGUUGCCGUCGUUGGCUCGCCUCGAAAUGCAUUAGCUGUCUAAAGACACGCGCCGCUGGUGUGAUAAUUUACUUUUUGCGCCUAAUGGUGUUGUGACUGGUGAAGGCUUAUAACCGCCCGUGAGGGCAACUAUAACUUUGCGCUUUGACCUCAAAUCAGGUGGGACUACCCGCUGA